UUACUAUUAAUCAUUCGCUUUCUCAAUGAAAAUCCCUUUUCUAGUUUUAUAUAUAUUUUUAAAUAUAUAUUUAAAUAUAAAAGUCUCUCUGGGAGAGUAAACUAUACAAUUUCAUAUUUAUCUGUAAAACAUAUAAUUUUGCUAUGUGGCUACUAAGCACAAUUAAUUCUUUAAUUUAUAUUUCAUGGUUUAUUUUCAAUGUGAUAUGGAAAUGUAUGGUUUAUCUGUAAAAAUAGCAAAUCAACAGACCAUGUCUGUUUUGUUUAAAUAUGCUAUAUUAAUUUAAAACAGCAUAACCUCGUAAAAUCAGUUUUCGUUAUAAAUGUUCAUGAUAUAAAUAUGAGAUAUUAUUAUGUUAAUUUAUUAAGAAUUUUUUAGAGAAAGUUGAUGUAAUAAUUUCUGAUUACUAUGACAAAUGUUUUGUCAUAGUAAUUUAAUAUUUUUUUUAUCAUAUAUUCUUUAUUAUAUUGUAUUUAGGAAAUUAAGAUUGAGGACGAUAUUACUACUUUAAUACAACUCUGGUACCGCUCUUUCCAAAAAUAGACUGCCAACCUGUGGAGAAUAUAGAAAAAAGAACCUACGAGAGAAGUAUAUGCCCUAUACCCGCCUCCUCGACACCCUACCCUUAUCCGACGGCUACAUACUAUAAUAGCAGAGGCCGCCGCAGAAGAAUUUACCAAUACUAGUGUUUCUGAAGAGAGAAAUAAAAUGGAGUAAAAAAUUUCAUAAUUCUAGAUAAUUUUAUAGUUACGUUUGUCAUUGUUGUCGUGAUAAUCAUUUUCCCUUUCGCUGUCAACUUAUGAAGCCUGAGGUUUGACUAAGAAUUAAAUAAUAGAUUACAAAUAACCAAUUUCAAAUACAGUAGAUAUUAAUUCUUAAUGCUUUUUGUUUGUGAUUCCAAUAUCAAUAUUUUUAUAUUUUGUUAAUAUAUAAUUAUAUAUAAUAUAUACGUGUUAUUACUA